rnacentral:rRNA from 1 species
CUUAGAGUUUGAUCCUGGCUCAGGACUUCGCUGGCGGUAUGCUUAACACAUGCAAGUCGAACGGUGUCUUCGGACAUAGUGGCGGACGGGUGAGUAACGCGUGAGAAUCUAGCUUCAGGUCUGGGACAACCACUGGAAACGGUGGCUAAUACCGGAUGUGCCGGAAGGUGAAAGGCUUGCUGCCUGAAGAUGAGCUCGCGUCCGAUUAGCUAGUAGGUGGGGUAAGAGCCUACCUAGGCGACGAUCGGUAGCUGGUCUGAGAGGAUGACCAGCCACACUGGGACUGAGACACGGCCCAGACUCCUACGGGAGGCAGCAGUGGGGAAUUUUCCGCAAUGGGCGAAAGCCUGACGGAGCAAUACCGCGUGAGGGAGGAAGGCUCUUGGGUUGUAAACCUCUUUUCUCAGGGAAGAACACAAUGACGGUACCUGAGGAAUCAGCAUCGGCUAACUCCGUGCCAGCAGCCGCGGUAAUACGGAGGAUGCAAGCGUUAUCCGGAAUGAUUGGGCGUAAAGCGUCCGCAGGUGGCUGUGUAAGUCUGCUGUCAAAGAGCAAAGCUCAACUUUGUAAAGGCAGUGGAAACUACACGGCUAGAGUGCGUUCGGGGCAGAGGGAAUUCCUGGUGUAGCGGUGAAAUGCGUAGAGAUCAGGAAGAACACCGGUGGCGAAGGCGCUCUGCUAGGCCGCAACUGACACUGAGGGACGAAAGCUAGGGGAGCGAAUGGGAUUAGAUACCCCAGUAGUCCUAGCUGUAAACGA